rnacentral:rRNA from 1 species
AGAAUCAACGCUGGCGGCGUGCCUAACACAUGCAAGUCGAACGAGAAAGGGGAGCAAUCCCUGAGUAAAGUGGCGACCGGGUGAGUAACACGUGACUAGCCUACCCUCGAGUGUGGAAUAACAGUACGGGAAACCGAUGCUAAUACCGCAUAACAUCGGCGCUUCUCAAGAAGUGACGAUCAAAGGAGCAAUCCGUUUGAGGGAGGGGUCGCGGCUGAUUAGCUAGUUGGCGGGUAACGGCCCACCAAGGCGAAGAUCGGUA